GUAGGGUCCAAGCGUUAAUCGGGAAUUACUGGGCGUAAAGCGUGCGCAGGCGGUUGCGCAAGACCGAUGUGAAAUCCCCGGGGCUUAACCUGGGAAUUGCAUUGGUGACUGCACGGCUAGAGUGUGUCAGAGGGGGGUAGAAUUCCACGUGUAGCAGUGAAAUGCGUAGAGAUGUGGAGGAAUACCGAUGGCGAAGGCAGCCCCCUGGGAUAACACUGACGCUCAUGCACGAAAGCGUGGGGAGCAAACAGGAUUAGAUACCCUGGUAGUCCACGCCCUAAACGAUGUCAACUAGUUGUUGGGGAUUCAUUUCCUUAGUAACGUAGCUAACGCGUGAAGUUGACCGCCUGGGGAGUACGGUCGCAAGAUUA
rnacentral:rRNA from 1 species